AGCGUAGACGGUGGAUGCCUUGGCAGUCAGAGGCGAUGAAGGACGUAUUAACUUGCGAAAAGCCCAGAUAAGGCAGUAAAAGCCAUUUGAAUCUGGGAUAUCCGAAUGGGGAAACCCACCUGCAUAAGCAGGUAUCUUAGCGUGAAUACAUAGCGCUAAGAGGCGAACUCGGGGAACUGAAACAUCUAAGUACCCGGAACAUGGGGGGACCAUCCUCCAAGGCUAAAUACUCCUGACUGACCGAUAGUGAACCAGUACCGUGAGGGAAAGGCGAAAAGAACCCCUGUGAGGGGAGUGAAAUAGAACCUGAAACCGUCUACGUACAAGCAGUGGGAGCCUCCUUUGWGGGGUGACCGCGUACCUUUUGUAUAAUGGGUCAGCGACUUAAUGUUAGUAGCAAGGUUAACCGCAUAGGGGAGCCGUAGGGAAACCGAGUCUUAACUGGGCGURUAGUUGCUAGCAUUAGACCCGAAACCGAGUGAUCUAGCCAUGGGCAGGUUGAAGGUUGAGUAACAUCAACUGGAGGACCGAACUCACUAACGUUGAAAAGUUAGGAGAUGACCUGUGGCUAGGGGUGAAAGGCCAAUCAAACUCGGAGAUAGCUGGUUCUCCCCGAAAGCUAUUUAGGUAGCGCCUCGGACGAACACUACUGGGGGUAGAGCACUGUUAAGGCUAGGGGGUCAUCCCGACUUACCAACCCUUUGCAAACUCCRAAUACCAGUAAGUGCUAUCCGGGAGACACACGGCGGGUGCUAACGUCCGUCGUGGAGAGGGAAACAACCCAGACCGCCAGCUAAGGUCCCAAAGUUAUCGCUAAGUGGGAAACGAUGUGGGAAGGCUCAGACAGCCAGGAUGUUGGCUUAGAAGCAGCCAUCAUUUAAAGAAAGCGUAAUAGCUCACUGGUCGAGUCGGCCUGCGCGGAAGAUGUAACGGGGCUAAGCGAUACACCGAAGCUGCGGCAAUGUCCUUAUGGAUAUUGGGUAGGGGAGCGUUGUGUAAGCYGUUGAAGGUGUGCUGAGAGGCAUGCUGGAGGUAUCACAAGUGCGAAUGCUGACAUGAGUAACGAUAAWGGGGGUGAAAAACCUCCWCGCCGGAAGACCAAGGGUUCCUGUCCAACGUUAAUCGGGGCAGGGUAAGUCGGCCCCUAAGGCGAGGCCGAAAGGCGUAGUCGAUGGGAAACGGGUUAAUAUUCCCGUACUGCURCUUACUGCGAUGGGGGGACGGAGAAGGCUAGGUGGGCCUGGCGAUGGUUGUCCAGGUUCAAGGGUGUAGGCUGUAAUCUUAGGCAAAYCCGGGAUUACRYACGGUCGAGACCCGAUGUCGAGCCACCAAGGUGGUGAAGUCAUUGAUGCCAUGCUUCCGGGAAAAGCCUCUAAGCUUCAGGUAAGUAGGAACCGUACUCCAAACCGACACAGGUGGUCGGGUAGAGAAUACCAAGGCGCUUGAGAGAACUCGGGUGAAGGAACUAGGCAAAAUGGUACCGUAACUUCGGGAGAAGGUACGCUGCCCACGGUGAAGUCCCUUGCGGAUGGAGCUAUGGGCAGUCGCAGAUACCAGGUGGCUGCAACUGUUUAUUAAAAACACAGCACUGUGCAAAAUCGAAAGAUGACGUAUACGGUGUGACGCCUGCCCGGUGCCGGAAGGUUAAUUGAUGUGGUUAUCGCAAGAGAAGCCAUUGAUCGAAGCCCCGGUAAACGGCGGCCGUAACUAUAACGGUCCUAAGGUAGCGAAAUUCCUUGUCGGGUAAGUUCCGACCUGCACGAAUGGCGUAAUGAUGGCCACGCUGUCUCCACCCGAGACUCAGUGAAAUUGAAAUCGCAGUGAAGAUGCUGUGUACCCGCGGCUAGACGGAAAGACCCCGUGAACCUUUACUACAGCUUGGCACUGAACAUUGAGCCUACAUGUGUAGGAUAGGUGGGAGGCUUUGAAACGGCGACGCCAGUUGYYGUGGAGCCAUCCUUGAAAUACCACCCUUGUAUGUUUGAUGUUCUAACUUAGCCCCSUWAUCSGGGGUGAGGACAGUGCCUGGUGGGUAGUUUGACUGGGGCGGUCUCCUCCCAAAGYGUAACGGAGGAGCACGAAGGUGGGCUAAUCACGGUCGGACAUCGUGAGGUUAGUGCAAUGGCAUAAGCCCGCUUAACUGCGAGAGUGACGGCUCGAGCAGGUACGAAAGUAGGUCAUAGUGAUCCGGUGGUUCUGAAUGGAAGGGCCAUCGCUCAACGGAUAAAAGGUACUCCGGGGAUAACAGGCUGAUACCGCCCAAGAGUUCAUAUCGACGGCGGUGUUUGGCACCUCGAUGUCGGCUCAUCACAUCCUGGGGCUGAAGUCGGUCCCAAGGGUAUGGCUGUUCGCCAUUUAAAGUGGUACGCGAGCUGGGUUUAGAACGUCGUGAGACAGUUCGGUCCCUAUCUGCCGUGGGCGUUGGAUGAUUGAGGGGAGCUGCUCCUAGUACGAGAGGACCGGAGUGGACGAACCGCUGGUGUUCGGGUUGUGUCGCCAGGACCAUAGCGCUUUGGACCCACCUGAUCCCAUGCCGAACUCAGUAGUGAAACGAAGCAGCGCCGAUGGUAGUGUGGGGUCUCCCCAUGUGAGAGUAGGACAUCGCCAGGCUUGCUUUCUUGU
rnacentral:rRNA from 1 species